UACGGGGGGGGGCAAGCGUUGUUCGGAAUUACUGGGCGUAAAGGGUGCGUAGGCGGUUCGUUAAGUUGGAUGUGAAAACUCUGGGCUCAACCCAGAGCCUGCAUCCAAAACUGGCGGGCUAGAGUUCUGGAGGGGGUAGCGGAAUUCCUGGUGUAGCGGUGAAAUGCGUAGAUAUCAGGAGGAACACCGGUGGCGAAGGCGGCUACCUGGACAGAAACUGACGCUGAGGCACGAAAGCUAGGGGAGCAAACAGG
rnacentral:rRNA from 1 species